CCAUUUCUGACGCUAAGGCACGAAAGCGUGGGGAGCGAACCGGAUUAGAUACCCGGGUAGUCCACGCCGUAAACGAUGGAUACUAGCUGUUGGAGGUAUCGACCCCUUCAGUAGCGAAGCUAACGCGUUAAGUAUCCCGCCUGUGGAGUACGGCCGCAAGGCUAAAACAUAAAGGAAUUGACGGGGACCCGCACAAGCGGUGGAUUAUGUUCUUUAAUUCGAUGAUAACCGAAGAACCUUACCAGGGCUUGACAUCCAGGGAAGGUCUGCGAAAGUAGACUGUGCCUUUUGGAACCCUGUGACAGGUGAUGCAUGGCCGUCGUCAGCUCGUGUCGUGAGAUGUUUGGUUAAGUCCAUCAACGAGCGCAACCCUUGCAACUAGUUGGAUUUUUCUAGUUGGACUGCUUCGGUAACGGAGAGGAAGGAGGGGAUGAUGUCAGGUCAGUAUUUCCCUUACGUCCUGGGCUAGAAACACGAUACAAUGGCUAGUACAAUGCGCAGCAAAGCCGCGAGGUGGAGCAAAUCGCAUCAAAGCUAGUCCCAGUUCGGAUUGGAGGCUGAAACUCGCCUCCAUGAAGUCGGAAUCGCUAGUAAUCGCAGAUCAGCAAGCUGCGGUGAAUACGUUCCCGGGUCUUGUACACACCGCCCGUCAAACCAUGAAAGUGACCAACACCCGAAGUCCGAUUCGUCGGCCUAAGGUGGGGGGCAUGAUUGGGGUUAAGUCGUAACAAGGUAUCCGUACCGGAAGGUGCGGAUG
rnacentral:rRNA from 1 species